GAUGAACGCUGGCGGCGUGCCUAAUACAUACAAGUCGAGCGAACAGACGAUGAGCUUUCUCCUCUGACGUUAGCGGCUGACGGGUGAGUAACACGUGGAUAACCUACCUAUAAUACUUGGAUAACUUCGUGAAACCGGAGCUAAUACCGGAUAAUAUAUUGUACCGCAUGGUUCAAUAGUUAAAGACGGUUUUGCUGUCUCUUAUAGAUGUAUCCGCGCCGCAUUAGCUAGUUGGUAAGGUAACGGCUUACCAAGGCGACGAUGCGUAGCCGACCUGAGAGGGUGAUCGGCCACACUGGAACUGAGACACGGUCCAGACUCCUACGGGAGGCAGCAGUAGGGAAUCUUACGCAAUGGGCGAAAGCCUGACGGAGCAACGCCGCGUGAGUGAUGAAGGUCUUCGGAUCGUAAAACUCUGUUAUUAGGGAAGAAAAAAUGUGUAAGUAACUAUGCACGUAUUGACGGUACCUAAACAGAAAGCAACGGCUAACUACGUG
rnacentral:rRNA from 1 species